CAAAAAGAACUUUCUCCUUGGUAGGGAGAGGGCACUUUCCUAACCUGCAAGCAUGUGAAAGGGCUAACAGCAGCCUGGUGAUCAGCCUGCCUGGGGCCUCCUCUUCAGGGCCAGACGUGGACCCUAACUCACCUUUCUCGAAGUCUACCUCUUCCUCAUGCUCCUCCCUCAUGCUCAGGUCACCUGGCCAGAAAGGGUAUUGUGUGGAAUUCCCCCAUAGAGACUGGAAGGCUGGCCCUGGAGGCCGGCAGAGGGACAAGGAGGUCGUGGCCGACAGCUUUCUUCAGCAACCCAUCACCUCCUCUGGGCCCCUCCAGAUGCCUUACCGAGCUGCGUGCUCCACACCGUGCAGAGGCAGCCAGGCUGGG